UACAGAGGUCUCAAGCGUUGUUCGGAUUCAUUGGGCGUAAAGGGUGCGUAGGCGGUCGUGCAAGUCGGAUGUGAAAUCUCAGGGCUCAACCCUGAAACUGCAUUCGAUACUGCGUGGCUAGAGUGCUGGAGAGGAGACUGGAAUUUACGGUGUAGCAGUGAAACGCGUAGAUAUCGUAAGGAAGACCAGUGGCGAAGGCGAGUCUCUGGACAGCAACUGACGCUGAGGCACGAAGGCCAGGGGAGCAAACGGG
rnacentral:rRNA from 1 species